AACGAACGCUGGCGGCGUGCCUAAUACAUGCAAGUCGAACGCUGAAGGAGUAUACUUUUACCAACUGGAGUAGCAGCUAACGGAUGAGUAACGCGUAGAGAAUCUUCCUCUUUUCGGUGGAGGACAUUGGAGGACGAAUUCUAAUACCGCAUAAAAACUUUAAACACAGGAUGUAAGGUUUAAACAUGCCAUUCCAGCACGCAAAGAUGAACGCGCGUUUUGUUAGCUAGUUGGUGAGGUAAAGGCUCACCAAGGCGAUGAUACAUAGACGACCUGAGAGGGUGAUCGGCCACAUUGGGACCGAGACACGGCCCAAACCCCUACGGGAGGCAGCAGUAGGGAAUCUUUGGCAAUGGACGAAAGUCUGACCGCGCAACGCCGCGUGAGUGAAGAAGGUCUUCGGAUCGUAAAACUCUGUUGGUAGAGAAGAAAGUUGGUGAGAGUGGAACGCUGAUCAAGUGACGGUAACUACACAGAAAGCAACGGCUAACUACGUG
rnacentral:rRNA from 1 species